rnacentral:rRNA from 1 species
GCAGCCGCGGUAAUACGUAGGGGGCAAGCGUUAUCCGGAUUUACUGGGUGUAAAGGGAGCGUAGACGGCGAGGCAAGUCCGAUGUGAAAACCCGGGGCUCAACCCCGGGAUUGCAUUGGAAACUGUUUGGCUCGAGUACUGGAGGGGCAAGCGGAAUUCCUGGUGUAGCGGUGAAAUGCGUAGAUAUCAGGAGGAACACCGGUGGCGAAGGCGGCUUGCUGGACAGUGACUGACGUUGAGGCUCGAAAGCGUGGGGAGCAAACAGGAUUAGAUACCCC